AUUGAACGCUGGCGGCAUGCCUUACACAUGCAAGUCGAACGGCAGCACGGGUGCUUGCACCUGGUGGCGAGUGGCGAACGGGUGAGUAAUAUAUCGGAACGUACCUUAUUGUGGGGGAUAACGCAGCGAAAGCUGUGCUAAUACCGCAUACGAUCUAAGGAUGAAAGCGGGGGAUCGCAAGACCUCGCGCGAUUGGAGCGGCCGAUAUCAGAUUAGGUAGUUGGUGGGGUAAAGGCUCACCAAGCCAACGAUCUGUAGCUGGUCUGAGAGGACGACCAGCCACACUGGAACUGAGACACGGUCCAGACUCCUACGGGAGGCAGCAGUGGGGAAUUUUGGACAAUGGACGCAAGUCUGAUCCAGCCAUUCCGCGUGCAGGAUGAAGGCCCUCGGGUUGUAAACUGCUUUUGUACGGAACGAAAAGGUUUGGGUUAAUACCCUGGGCUCAUGACGGUACCGUAAGGAAUUAAAGGCAACCCGGGCUAAACG
rnacentral:rRNA from 1 species